rnacentral:rRNA from 1 species
GAGUGUUAAAAGACACCGAGUGGCAAACGGGUGAGUAACGCGUAGACAACCUGCCGCAAAGAUGGGGACAACAGUCCGAAAGGACUGCUAAUACCGAAUGUUGUCAUUUCUCCGCAUGGAGGGAUGAUUAAAGAUGGCCUCUACUUGUAAGCUAUCGCUUUGCGAUGGGUCUGCGUCUGAUUAGCUAGUUGGUGGGGUAACGGCCUACCAAGGCGACGAUCAGUAGCCGGUCUGAGAGGAUGAACGGCCACAUUGGAACUGAGACACGGUCCAGACUCCUACGGGAGGCAGCAGUGGGGAAUCUUCCGCAAUGGGCGAAAGCCUGACGGAGCAACGCCGCGUGAGUGAAGAAGGGUUUCGGCUCGUAAAGCUCUGUUGACGGGGACGAAUGUGCGAAAUGCGAACAGUUUUUCGCAAUGACGGUACCCGUCGAGGAAGCCACGGCUAACUACGUGCCAGCAGCCGCGGUAAUACGUAGGUGGCGAGCGUUGUCCGGAAUUAUUGGGCGUAAAGGGAGCGCAGGCGGGAAGGCAAGUCAGUCUUAAAAGUGCGGGGCUCAACCCCGUGAUGGGAUUGAAAC